rnacentral:rRNA from 1 species
GAUGAACGCUGGCGGCGCGCCUAAUACAUGCAAGUCGAGCGAAUGGAUUAAGAGCUUGCUCUUAUGAAGUUAGCGGCGGACGGGUGAGUAACACGUGGGUAACCUGCCCAUAAGACUGGGAUAACUCCGGGAAACCGGGGCUAAUACCGGAUAACAUUUUGAACCGCAUGGUUCGAAAUUGAAAGGCGGCUUCGGCUGUCACUUAUGGAUGGACCCGCGUCGCAUUAGCUAGUUGGUGGGGUAACGGCUCACCAAGGCAACGAUGCGUAGCCGACCUGAGAGGGUGAUCGGCCACACUGGGACUGAGAAACGGCCCAGACUCCUACGGAAGGCAGCAGUAGGGAAUCUUCCGCAAUGGACGAAAGUCUGACGGAGCAACGCCGCGUGAGUGAUGAAGGCUUUCGGGUCGUAAAACUCUGUUGUUAGGGAAGAACAAGUGCUAGUUGAAUAAGCUGGCACCUUGACGGUACCUAACCAGAAAGCCACGGCUAACUACGUGCCAGCCGCCGCGGUAA